ACCAAGGCUUCGACGGGUAGCCGGCCUGAGAGGGCGACCGGCCACAUUGGGACUGAGAUACGGCCCAAACUCCUACGGGAGGCAGCAGUGGGGAAUAUUGCACAAUGGACGGAAGUCUGAUGCAGCAACGCCGCGUGCGGGAUGACGGCCUUCGGGUUGUAAACCGCUUUCAAUUGUGACGAAGCUUUUUGUGACGGUAGCAGUAGAAGAAGCACCGGCUAACUACGUGCCAGCAGCCGCGGUGAUACGUAGGGUGCGAGCGUUGUCCGGAUUUAUUGGGCGUAAAGAGCUUGUAGGUGGUUUGUCGCGUCGGGAGUGAAAACUCAGGGCUUAACUCUGAGCUUGCUUUCGAUACGGGCUGACUUGAGGGAGGUAGGGGAGAAUGGAAUUCCUGGUGGAGCGGUGGAAUGCGCAGAUAUCAGGAGGAACACCGGUGGCGAAGGCGGUUCUCUGGACCUUUCCUGACGCUGAGAAGCGAAAGCGUGGGGAGCGAACAGGCUUAGAUACCCUGGUAGUCCACGCUGUAAACGGUGGGUACUAGGUGUGGGGGACAUUCCACGUUCUCCGUGCCGUAGCUAACGCAUUAAGUACCCCGCCUGGGGAGUACGGCCGCAAGGCUAAAACUCAAAGGAAUUGACGGGGCCCCGCACAAGCGGCGGAGCAUGCGGAUUAAUUCGAUGCAACGCGAAGAACCUUACCAAGGCUUGACAUGUGCCGGUUUGCUUCGGAGACGGGGUUUCCUCCUUUGUGGGGGCUGGUUCACAGGUGGUGCAUGGUUGUCGUCAGCUCGUGUCGUGAGAUGUUGGGUUAAGUCCCGCAACGAGCGCAACCC
rnacentral:rRNA from 1 species